rnacentral:lncRNA from 1 species
UAGGAGUUUGGACUUGAACUUGGGGAAAUCAGAGGUCACAGAAGGCCUUAAACAACAGAAGAAUGCUGAAGUUGGAAGUGAGUUUUACAGUACAACACGUGGAACACCUAUUGCAGAGGAAUCAGGAAGAGCAGGCCAGAGUUCUGCAAUGAGGAUUUCAUUCUGCCUGGAAGUUGAGGGAUGGAUGAUGUCAACUUUCAAGGUCUCUUAAACUUGAAUUGAGUUUCCCUGUGUUACUCUAAGCAUCAAAACAAGGUGUUAUGGGCUGAAUAAUUGUGUCCCUCUAAAAUUCCUUUGUUGAAAUCCUAACCCCCAAGGUGACGGUAUUAAAAGGAGGGGAAUUUAAGAGGUGAUUAGGUCAGGUCCUGAGGAGAGAGCCCUUAUGAAUGGGAUGAAUUUCCUUGUAAGAGACCCUGGAGAGUUCUCUCACCCUUUUUCCCUGUCAUAUGAGGACACAGUAAGAAGGUGGUUUUCUGCAUGCCAGGAAGAGAGCCCUCACCAGAAUCUGACCAUACUGGCAUCAUGACCUCAGAAUUCCAGCCUCCAGAACAGUGAGAAAUAAAUUUCUGUUGUUUAUGAGCCACCCAGCAUGUAGUAUUUUGCUAAAGCAACCCAAAGGAACUAAGACAAGAGGUAGAACUGUUCUUAUUAUAAAUGGAGCUGAUAAUGGAGUACAAAGUCUCAGUUGGUGAUGAACCAAUGAGUAUAGUGUAUGUAAAAUUCUUGACAUGAUAUCUAUCAUAUAGAUGUAUUCUGUUUAUAUUAGCUUUUAAUAAUCAUAAUGGUGAAGAUAAAACCAUCCAGUAUACCCCUUGAACAGGGAAUAUUUUGGCAGAAGAGGUGAGGGCAGGGGAGAGGAGGCAGAAAUGUGUUUACAAUGAGUACCUGAGGACCUUUCUCACAGCCAAUUCCACUUUCUGGAACCUUGAAUAAAAACUUUGAGAAAAAUCAAGAACCCAAAUUUUCCCUACGGCAGAGUUAGUCAUCACCAGUCUAUGAAAAUUAAACAGAUUUUAUUGACUUAAAGAACUGGUAGCUUGGAUGUUGUCAGAUAUUGACAGUCUGUGAAUUAAUUCAUUAGAUUUUUUCCCCAUCCUAGGGACAUGAUUUUGGUCAUUCAAUAUGAAAAAACAAAACCUCAAAGAAAAGCAAAGGGGUAGUAGAAAAGGAGGAGGAAAGCCUAUGUAUU